rnacentral:rRNA from 1 species
AGUGAACGCUGGCGGUAGGCCUAACACAUGCAAGUCGAACGGCAGCACAGUAAGAGCUUGCUCUUACGGGUGGCGAGUGGCGGACGGGUGAGGAAUACAUCGGAAUCUACUUUUUCGUGGGGGAUAACGUAGGGAAACUUACGCUAAUACCGCAUACGACCUACGGGUGAAAGCAGGGGAUCUUCGGACCUUGCGCGAUUGAAUGAGCCGAUGUCGGAUUAGCUAGUUGGCGGGGUAAAGGCCCACCAAGGCGACGAUCCGUAGCUGGUCUGAGAGGAUGAUCAGCCACACUGGAACUGAGACACGGUCCAGACUCCUACGGGAGGCAGCAGUGGGGAAUAUUGGACAAUGGGCGCAAGCCUGAUCCAGCCAUACCGCGUGAGUGAAGAAGGCCUUCGGGUUGUAAAGCCCUUUUUUUGGGAAAGAAAAGCAGCAGGUUAAUACCCCGCUGUUCUGACGGUACCCAAAGAAUAAGCACCGGCUAACUUCGUG